AACUGUUUAAUUAAAAAAAAACAGAUGCUCCGCAGGGCGCAGCUUUAUACGACCGCAGAGGUUGAACCCUGAACGGUUGGGGCAAGUAUGGACACAACAUUCAAGCUGGAUUCAGCUCUAAAUUUGGAUUGUGAUUAAAUAGUUGACACAGCAUAGGUUUUGGACACAGAAUGAAUGUGGUCUAAUAAACUUAAAAUAAUUUUUUUGUCUUUGAGCAAUCACUAUGCUGUUGAAUAUUAAUCCUCUCAAAAAAAUGUUUGAAGAAUUUU
rnacentral:lncRNA from 1 species